AUAUUUAUUAAUUAAAAAAAAUAAUAAUCCCCCAAAAAGCAUGUUAGUAUAAUUGUACCCAUUCUAAGGAUGCAGCAUCAAGUGAGAGAAAUCUGAUUAAAACACAUUUUCUUUUCUUUAGUUUUUGGUAUUCUGUUUCUCCAGUUGCUAAUCAGCAAGAAUAUCUUUGUCCUACUGAACCGAGGCAUGUUCAAAAGCCUUUGCCCUCUUUGGCAUAAGAGCCUAACUUAUUAAAGACAAAGUUCUCCUAGGUCUCUGCUAAAAAAUAGUGAAAUAAAUAUUUUUAUAAACAUAUUAUCUCAAAGUAUUAAUGCUGGAAGAGACCUACAGGACCAAAGACAGCUCCCUCCCUUUACAGAGAGAAAAAGGUUGAAACAGCAAUGAUUCUGAAAAAUUUCCUUGUGUUUUCAUAACUAAUAUCUUCAUCAUAAAGCCCACGACAUGCACUUGUUUUUAUUUGCAUGCCUGAAUUUUGGUGGCUCUGAACCAUAUAUGAUGGCUCUGAGGACAAACCAUGUUUGUUUCCCGCCCUGCAAUUUUGUCAGUGUGCCAUGUACUUCCUUGGUAUUGAGCAAUCAUUUUUCAACUACCUAAAAGUUUCUCUUUUGAUGAGAAGAAGAAUAAACCUCAUUCUUGUUCAGAUGUAGAGAUCAAGGAAAAGACUUCUGUCUUAUUGGCUUCAGAUAUGUUAUCAGCACCUAAAUAAUGGAAAGCUGCAUUAAAGGAGGUUUCCCUUGGGAAGAGAGAGAGAGACAGAGCAUGAACAGGGGAGGGGCAGAGAGAGAGGGAGA